UGAAUGCACACGCUCAUUCAGGUCUUCUCCUCUUCUUUUGAUAACAUCUUGUUAUUUUCCUCACCUGAAAUGGGGAUAAAAAGUUUGGGUAAAAAAUUAAUAACUGUCUUUAAGCCAAGGUUGGGAUGAGAAUAAGAGGAAGGGGAAUUUUUGUUUGUUCGGUUUAUUCGUUACUAGGCCGGACAUAAGGAAGGCCUGGAGUUGAAUUUAGUUAAUUUUUAGGAGGUGUGUGAUAAAUUCCGGAUACAGUUUUAGGAAAUUUGACGGUUAUUUUACGAGUAAAUUUAAAAUUAGGGAAUUUAAGUCCACUAAUAUCUAAUACUCCACUUACAUAUAUUUAUAUCGGUCUUCAUAACUAACCUAUUUAUGAAGUCUCACAAUAGUGCAUGAAUUUGCAGUUUCAUACAUUUAGAAAUUUUACGAUUAAUAUGUUUCAAACUUCAGAAUUUCCUAAUUUUUCAGCAUAAUAAUUUCUAAGUUUCAUAUUUAGAAAUUAAUUACUUCUAUAUUUAGAUAACUCAAAAUUCAACUAACUGCCCAUGAGCUUAGUCAAAAAUAGCUUCACUUCCAAAUUUUCCGGAACUCUCAUACAAACAUAACGAGACCAUCACACGCUCACAUGGAACUUUUGUUACCACUUUUGUUACUCCAAAUUUUACUCCUCAUCCACACUUCAACCUCAGAUCGGAGCAACGUCUCUAUUAAUUGCACCCCACGUCACGGCGAUUGUUCCUUCUACUUGACAUGCGUCGAGCACCACGUUCCGUGUGGGAGGUCGGGCUACGUGCGCCAAUACGGGUACAAGUACUGCCAACGAUUCCGGUUCCAUGCACCCCUCUUUUCACGCCGUGGUCGAAAAUGGCUAUGGCAAGUGAUGACCUGUCUCCAGGCGGAGUUGGCCGCCGCAUUAAAUCUUGACACGAAUGACAUCGUCCCAUCUUCCUUCAAUGAUACGCAACCUACCUGCGCUUCAAUUAAGGAAACGGCGUUUGAAUCGCAUACCAAAUGUUAUACGGAGGUAACGCCAAGCGUCUGUUUCCUAAACGGGAUGGAUAUGCUCCUAAUUUCCAAGAUUAUUAGACAAGAUUUACUUGGGUAUGAUACGAUGAAGGGAACAAUCGAAGUGUUGGAAGUGUGCGAGCACCAGUGGACUAAGUUCCUCAGAUUGUAAAGAUGUACAUACAUACAUAUACAUAUGUAUGAAAAUGCAAAGUUGUUGUGGAAAAUUUACCCAAGGUUGAGAAAAAUAGAAGAUGACACAAAAUUGGGUAAAAUUUGUCACAAUUUUACAAAAAAAUAAAAUUAUCCAAUUGUUGUGUCAUCGUCUAUUUUACUCAACCUUGAAAAAAUUAUAUGUAGGUUGUGGGAAUCUACGUCAAGUGCAUAUAAAAAUGCAGAUUUGUGAUAACUUUGAGAUUAAAGUAAAGAUAAUAUAAGAUUUGAAAAUAUAUAUAUUUAGGAACGAUCGUCAGUAGUUAAUAAACUUGCAACAUAAACAUGAUAAGCAUGUAUUUAACUGCGCGUGUAUACAAAUAAUAUGCAUAUUUAUAUGUAUGUACGCAUAUAAAUACAUACAUACAUUCAGAUUGAUAGUCUGUAUUUUAAUAAAAACUUGUUUCAAUCAUUUCA